rnacentral:rRNA from 1 species
AGUGAACGCUGGCGGUAGGCCUAACACAUGCAAGUCGAACGGCAGCACAGUAAGAGCUUGCUCUUACGGGUGGCGAGUGGCGGACGGGUGAGGAAUACAUCGGAAUCUACUUUUCGUGGGGGAUAACGUAGGGAAACUUACGCUAAUACCGCAUACGACCUACGGGUGAAAGCAGGAGAUCUUCGGACCUUGCGCGAUUGAAUGAGCCGAUGUCGGAUUAGCUAGUUGGCGGGGUAAAGGCCCACCAAGGCGACGAUCCGUAGCUGGUCUGAGAGGAUGAUCAGCCACACUGGAACUGAGACACGGUCCAGACUCCUACGGGAGGCAGCAGUGGGGAAUAUUGGACAAUGGGCGCAAGCCUGAUCCAGCCAUACCGCGUGGGUGAAGAAGGCCUUCGGGUUGUAAAGCUCUUUUGUUGGGAAAGAAAAGCAGCAGGUUAAUACCCCGCUGUUCUGACGGUACCCAAAGAAUAAGCACCGGCUAACUUCGUG